AGUGGCAGCACCUGAAGCUGGGAGGGAAGGAAGGGAGGUGCCUUCUUGAACAGGAAGGAGAGGAAGAGUGAAGUCCCUUCAACUUGCCAUCACUGCAUGAGAGGGUAAAAGAAAAAAAAGGCAUCUGGCCCCUUUUGGCCUUCGGAUGAGAAGGACUUUCAGAAUUAUAGGGAAUGGGGGAAAGGUGUAAGGAAGACCCUUGUCCCAUGGGACGAAGAGAGCAUCCCUCAUGGAGUGUCAUCCAACCCCUGCUCUGGAGCAGUGCUGAGGACAUUUCUUGUUCUGGCCCAGAUUCUGAUACAGAUUCAGUGUUGUCUGGGUGACUUGAUGGGCUUUGGCAAAGGAACUGAGAAGGCAGUCAUUGAGG